GACGAACCGUGCGAACGUUAUUCGGAAUUACUGGGCGUAAAGCGCGUGUAGGCGGCUCUUCAAGUCAGGCGUGAAAGCCCCGGGCUCAACUCGGGAACUGCGCUUGAUACUGUCGAGCUAGAGUGUGGAAGGGGCGAUUGGAAUUCCGUGUGUAGCGGUGAAAUGCGUAGAUAUACGGAGGAACACCAGAGGCGAAGGCGGAUCGCUGGGCCAACACUGACGCUGAGGCACGAAAGCCAGGGGAGCAAACGGG
rnacentral:rRNA from 1 species